CCCUUAGAUGUCCUGGGCCGCACGCGCGCUACACUGAGUGUCUGAGAUACGAGUCUGCCUGGUCCGGCAAGGUCUAGGUAAUCGCUAAAAGACACAUCAUGCUUGGGAUAGAUUAUUGCAAAUAUUAAUCUUGAACGAGGAAUUCCUAGUAAGCGCAAGUCAACAGCUUGCGUUGAUUACGUCCCUGCCCUUUGUACACACCGCCUGUCGCACAAACCGAUUGAAUGAUUCGGUGAAAAUUUUGGACAUCGAGAGUGGUGAUUAAUUUCGCUGCUCUUAAAUGGAAAGAAUUUAAACCUAAUUAUUUAGAGGAUUGUGAAGUCAUAACA
rnacentral:rRNA from 1 species